ACUCCUACGGGAGGCAGCAGUGGGGAAUUUUGGACAAUGGGCGAAAGCCUGAUCCAGCAAUGCCGCGUGAGUGAAGAAGGCCUUCGGGUUGUAAAGCUCUUUUGUCAGGGAAGAAACGGUGAGAGCUAAUAUCUUUUGCUAAUGACGGUACCUGAAGAAUAAGCACCGGCUAACUACGUGCCAGCAGCCGCGGUAAUACGUAGGGUGCAAGCGUUAAUCGGAAUUACUGGGCGUAAAGCGUGCGCAGGCGGUUUUGUAAGUCUGAUGUGAAAUCCCCGCGCUCAACCUGGGAAUUGCAUUGGAGACUGCAAGGCUAGAAUCUGGCAGAGGGGGGUAGAAUUCCACGUGUAGCAGUGAAAUGCGUAGAUAUGUGGAGGAACCCCGAUGGCGAAGGCAGCCCCCUGGGUCAAGAUUGACGCUCAUGCACGAAAGCGUGGGGAGCAAACAGGAUUAGAAACCCCGGUAGUCCCAUGAU
rnacentral:rRNA from 1 species